rnacentral:tRNA from 1 species
AAUUAUAUAGUUUAAUAAAAACAAUACAUUUUCAUUGUAUCAAUAAUACCUAAGUAUUUAUAAUUA